rnacentral:rRNA from 2 species
UCUAAGCAUGAAGCCCCCCUCAAGAUGAGAUUUCCCAACUUCGGUUAUAAGAUCCCUCGAAGAUGACGAGGUUAAUAGGUUCGAGGUGGAAGCGUGGUGACACGUGGAGCUGACGAAUACUAAUCGAUCGAAGACUUAAUCAA